GGCACCCUGUCGUGUUCUACCUUCUCCAAAAAUGAAAAACCCGUCAGUAGAUUCACCCUCUCUCUAACGCAUGGCACAGAGAGACGCAAUGCCUGAUCGAGACGAGAUGAGACUCUCUCUCACCCUCUCUCUAAUGCAGCGAUCUUAGAUCUUCUCUUCUCAUUCUGAGAGGAAACAAGAAUGAGCAUCUGCCGAGUCGACUCAAUGUGCAAGAAAUACGAUAAGUACGACAUCGAGAAGCAGCGCGACCUCAACCCUUACGGCGACGAUGCCUUCCCUCGUCUUUGCGCUCACGUCAACUACAAAAUUCUGACGACGGACCAAAUCUUGAUUGGUGGAGGAAGUUCCUAAGCUGCGAAAUUGGCUCAAAAAACAGCCAUUUGCUCUGAUAUACGAUCUAGCCUACUUAUCGCUUCUUCAGAAAAUAAGGUUGGAAUAAUUUUGCACUGCAUUUGUCAUUGUACGUUGAGUGUCUAAUUUCUCUUGCAUAUCUUUAAAUAAUUUAAUUCUAACUUAGGUCUCAAUAAAGUUUUCAUUAAUGAUUACCACAAUAUUUGUUGGAGGGAGGACAGGAACAUAAGUUUUGGACUGGGCCCGAGUUAUCCACAGAGUUCACUAUUUGACGCUUGUUGAUCCUCUCUACAUCUCAGUAGAUAGACCUUGGUGGAUUUCGCGUUGCCUGGUGAAUACAGAGCGAAUAGAAAAUUGUCAACUGGUGAUAACUGAUUGUGGAAACGAAAAUACCGAACAACUAGACUUUCCGAUAUCCUGCAGUGUUGGAGAACAGGUUUUCCAGGAAAAUAAAUUGCGCUUAAAUGACUGUGUAUUGGAUGGAUUCAGUAUUUUACCUGAAGAAUCCCAGCAGAAAAAUUAUCUUCAAUGUCAAUUCAAAAGAACCAGAAGGAACUGGUGCCUGCAGAAGGGAAUUAGAAGUAGUGGAGUCCCAGAAUGUGGAUAAUACUGCAUCAGUAUCUGAAAACAACAAAACAGUGGUUGAGAGAUACCCUGGACUGACAGUUAAGAAAUGAAUUUCAGCUUCAUUGUCAAGGCUUUCUUUGAAAUUGGACCGUAUGGAUGAAGUUCAAAUCACAGGUGCAGUGACCUCUCAGAAUUUUAGCUCGACUCAAAAGUAAAAAGUGUGCAGAUAUCAGCUCAAAAGUAAAAAGUUGUGGUGGAAGUGGUUUACAUAGACCACUCUAAACAUAAAAGCUUGGAUGAAGCAAAUAAAGAGGUUGAUGGAGGUGGUGACAUGAUGUAGGAAUCAUUUCCUGGAGAUCCACCAGAGCAGGCUUCAGUCCCAAACUGCGCAUGCUCAACAGCUGUUAAUAAUGUAUAUGAACUAUCUAUCUGGAUGUUCUGAGCUUCAACAUCCAAAUAUUGGUGUCAUACGAGUGUCCCAGGAUAUUAUCCUGGAUCUGGUUUGAAUGGAA